UACAGACGGUCCAAACGUUAUUCGGAAUCACUGGGCUUAAAGAGUUCGUAGGCGGUCAGGAAAGUGGGGUGUGAAAGCCCUCGGCUUAACCGAGGAAUUGCGCUCCAAACUCCCUGACUUGAGGAGGCUAGAGGUAAGCGGAACUGAUGGUGGAGCGGUGAAAUGCGUUGAUAUCAUCAGGAACACCGGAGGCGAAGGCGGCUUACUGGGGCCUUUCUGACGCUGAGGAACGAAAGCU
rnacentral:rRNA from 1 species